rnacentral:rRNA from 1 species
CGAAACCGAUAGCGAACAAGUACCGUGAGGGAAAGUUGAAAAGUACUCUGAAUAGAGAGUUAAAUAGUACGUGAAACCGCUUAGGGGUUAAGCCCGAUGAACCCGAAUAUCUGAUGUGAGAAAUUCAAUACUAUUCAUUGAAUUCAAUUUAUUUGUUUUUAAUGAAUUGUAUGCACUUUUCUCAUAGUAAGACAUUGUAAUCCAUUGAUAUUAUAUCUUUAUUUGUUUAAAGAUGAUUUAACAUACKGACAAAAUGUUUAUGAUUAUUCUAUCAGUGAUGUGUUAUACAUGUCAUAUGAAUAAAAUCGUUUUGUACCUGUUUAAAUAGUCGAUGGAUUUUUCAAUUAAAAUCAUGCUUGCAAUUUAUUUUGCGUUUCGUAUCGUUAAUUUUUAAUUGACGAUAGCAGAAAUGGCAUGUAUUUGAUUAACAAUGCGAUAGAUUUGGGAUACUUUCAGGACCCGUCUUGA